rnacentral:lncRNA from 1 species
AUUUUGAACAGAACUAUAUCCUAGUAGAUUGUAAAAAGAAGGUAUUAACAAAAUAUUCCUCAGAUCUCUAAAUGACAAAUUGUGUGCGGUAUAGUUUAGUUUCAUCAAAUACUAAACAUAUUUGCCAAAAUUAUUUUGGUUUUAUUGCAGUUAAUAUGAAGCUAUCCUUUCUGAUGGUGGCUAACAGGCUCAGGUAGCAUUUGCAUAUCCUUGAAAGGCAGUAGACAUUUCAGCAAUCUAGAGAUGAAUGCUGUUUUUCCCUAUGUUAUGAUGUAAAGGAAUAGUCCAUUUCCAAGCUCUAUCCAAAUAUAUAAGUUAAAAAGGAAAGGAGGAUUAAACAAAUAUUGAAGAUUAAUUCAGCAUGCCAUCUAAUAGUGUAUAGUGUCAGUCAUGAAAGCUCUGUGAGGACAGGGAUUUUUCUUUUGUGGUUUACUAGUGGAUUGUUUAUGGCCAUCAGACCCAGUAGUUUCUACUUAGAGUAGUGCUUAGCUUGAAGUAGGGUGAAUGGAUAAAAGAAUGCUAAACAGAUUUUUAUUUUCUUUUAGACUUCUCAUCAGUUGAAAUUGGAGUGCAAUUCAAUGCAGGGACAACUAAUGCAGGCCCAGAAGAGUUUAAAACAAAAGGAAAAAGAAGAACAACGACUUCAGGGUAACAGAAAUGAGUUAAAGCAACUGACUGAACAGAAGAAAAAGCAAAUUGAAGCACUCCAAGGAGAGAUUAAAAGGUUCAAGAAAUGUUUCUAGCAGGGACCAUCAUCAGCUAUUUUAAGGACUGCUGGAAUGUUCAGUAAGAUGUGGACAAGAACAUGAAUAUUGGAUUGUGGAACAAAAAGGUUGCUGAUAAAUUCAACAGCAGGUUCAUGGAAGUAGUAAGUUUAUUUUAAAAGCCAAGUGCUUCUUCUCAUACUAUACAUACAUAUCUUCUAAUUACAUCAUAAUUUGUGCACAUCUCUUGAAUCUUCUUAAAGACUGAAAACAAGUUUAGAGGAGUUGGACCUUUGCAGGAUUUUCAUUUCUUUUUCUGCCUUGAUGUUAAUGAACAUGCCCUUAGAAAUUUCUUGGGUCAUUCUUGAAUUUUAGGGAGCAGAAACAAUACACUUGAGCUCAGUAAUGGCUUUGAAAUUCUUUCAUGCAGAAAAUUCCUCUAGUUCAACCUUAACUUUCAGCAUCUUCUAAAGCAUGCAUAGCACUCUAUCUUCCAUCAGAAAGUAGUUGUUACUCUCAGUCUCCUGAGACCUUGGUACUUGACACUUACCAGUGAAAAUAUUUUUUUCUUUACUUAAUUCUUUUUUUAAUUGGGACUUGUCAGAUUUUGUAAUUCUUUAAUUUUGUAUUUCUAAGUAAGAUACUCUUUAUUACAGUAGAAUUUUAAGACAUAACUUUAGUUUGUUCUCAGGAAUCUUAGUUAUUGGAUUUCAUUCUGUAUUUGUAACUGGAUUUUUGUAUGCA